AGGAGUUGUCCUCUUACCCUGUGUUCCCUAACUGACUGUCUACCUUCACAUUUAUACUGCAUUCAGAUUGAGUACGUCAAAACUGCAAGAUAUUUUUAAACAAGCUAAAUUAUGUGUCUGUGAAGCCAGUUAAAGUAGAAGAUAAAGAUUGGACUGUAUUGCGAUGGGACUCUGUUAAGACUGCAGAAGAAGAAAGUGAAAAAUUGUUUGAUGUGAACAGAUACAGUGUUCCAGCGUUCCAUGUUCACUGGACUACAGAUUUGAGUGCACCCAGUCUGUACUUGCCCAGUAAUACGAUAGCAAUAAAGGGUGUCAAUAAAAGUUUGGAGUCCGUUACUCAAAAUCUGGAGUCCUUGUUGGAACACAAUUUUGGCCAAAUGAUUGCCAGCAUUUGGAGGUACCCACAGGUCAUAUUUGCUGAACUCCAUUCACAGUUUGACUUGCAGCAAAUUUUAAAAGGGAAAAAGUGGAAUAUAAUUUUUAUAAAACACGUGAUGAAACUGAACGUUACCAGAGCAGGCCUGGUCUUGGAAAUUCCGUCUCAAAUUCAACCAGACGAUUUACUCGCCAUCACGUUACGAAGACAAAGAGGUAAUUUCUGUUACGUACUCGACUAAAUACCAAUUAAUACCUUACUCACAAAGUACCAGACUGUUUUAUAGGCUGUGUUUUA